rnacentral:tRNA from 1 species
GCCAGGAUAGCCAAGCGGACAACGGCGCUGGUCUUGAAAAUCAGUUCCUUAUAGGAUCCGGGGUUCAAAUCCCCGUCCUGGCUCCA